rnacentral:rRNA from 1 species
AAGAGACAGUGGGGAUAUUGGACAUGGGCGAAGCCUGAUCCAGCAAUGCCGCGUGAGUGAUGAAGGCCUUCGGGUCGUAAGCUCUUUUACCAGGGAUGAUAAUGACAGUACCUGGAGAAUAAGCUCCGGCUAACUCCGUGCCAGCAGCCGCGGUAAU